rnacentral:rRNA from 1 species
AUUGAACGCUGGCGGCAUGCCUAACACAUGCAAGUCGAGCGGAGCGGCAGACGCGGGAGUAAUGCCUAUGUAUCUGCCCGUUCGUGGGGGCGGACGUCCGGUAACGGACGCUAAUACCGCAUACUCUCAGUUGAGCCUCGGUCGGAUUAGCUAGUUGGUGGGGUAAAGGCAUACCAAGGCGACGAUCCGUAGCUGGUCUGAGUGGAUGAUCAGUCACACUGGGACUGAGACACGGUCCAGACUCCUACGGGAGGCAGCAGUGGGGAAUAUUGGACAAUGGGCGAAAGCCUGAUCCAGCCAUGCCGCGUGUGUGAAGAAGGUCUUCGGAUUGUAAAGUACUUUAAGUAGGGAGGCGUUACCUGCAGAAUAAGCACCGGCUAACUUCGUGCCAGCAGCCGCGGUAAUAC